rnacentral:rRNA from 1 species
GAUGAACGCUGGCGGCGUGCCUAAUACAUGCAAGUCGAGCGAACAGACGAGGAGCUUGCUCCUCUGACGUUAGCGGCGGACGGGUGAGUAACACGUGGAUAACCUACCUAUAAGACUGGGAUAACUUCGGGAAACCGGAGCUAAUACCGGAUAAUAUAUUGAACCGCAUGGUUCAAUAGUGAAAGACGGUUUUGCUGUCACUUAUAGAUGGAUCCGCGCCGCAUUAGCUAGUUGGUAAGGUAACGGCUUACCAAGGCGACGAUGCGUAGCCGACCUGAGAGGGUGAUCGGCCACACUGGAACUGAGACACGGUCCAUACUCCUACGGGAGGCAGCAGUAGGGAAUCUUCCGUAAUGGGCGAAAGCCUGACGGAGCAACGCCGCGUGAGUGAUGAAGGUCUUCGGAUCGUAAAACUCUGUUAUUAGGGAAGAACAAAUGUGUAAGUAACUAUGCACGUCUUGACGGUACCUAAUCAGAAAGCCACGGCUAACUACGUG